UAAUCAUUUGUCUACUAAUUAUAGACCUGUAUGAAAGGCAAAAUGAGGGUCCAACUGUCUCUUAUAAUAAAUCAAUUAAACUGAUCUCCUAGUAAAAAAGCUAGAAUAAGACCAUAAGACCAGAAGACCCUGUGAAGCUUAAAUCAAACUACUAAAUCUCAUAGUAAUUACUUUCGGUUGGGGCGACCUUGGAAAAAAAUAGAACUUCCAAAUAUACGACUACAUCAUAGUAUAAAUUAGGCUAACAAGCCAACAAUAUGACCCAGUACAACUGACAAUUGAACCAAGUUACUCCAGGGAUAACAGCGCAAUCUUCUUCAAGAGCCCAUAUCAAAAAGAAGGUUUACGACCUCGAUGUUGGAUCAGGACAUCCUAAUGGUGCAGCCGCUAUUAAGGGUU
rnacentral:rRNA from 1 species